UGGGGAAUAUUGGACAAUGGGCGCAAGCCUGAUCCAGCCAUGCCGCGUGAGUGAUGAAGGCCCUAGGGUUGUAAAGCUCUUUCACCGGUGAAGAUAAUGACGGUAACCGGAGAAGAAGCCCCGGCUAACUUCGUGCCAGCAGCCGCGGUAAUACGAAGGGGGCUAGCGUUGUUCGGAUUUACUGGGCGUAAAGCGCACGUAGGCGGACUAUUAAGUCAGGGGUGAAAUCCCGGGGCUCAACCCCGGAAAUGCCUUUGAUACUGGUAGUCUUGAGUUCGAGAGAGGUGAGUGGAAUUCCGAGUGUAGAGGUGAAAUUCGUAGAUAUUCGGAGGAAAACCAGUGGCGAAGGCGGCUCACUGGCUCGAUACUGACGCUGAGGUGCGAAAGCGUGGGGAGCAAACAGG
rnacentral:rRNA from 1 species